CCGGAAUUGCUAAUGGGCCAGCCCAAACCCAUCGCUGGAUGGCAGCUUCUGUGCGUUUGCCCGUCUAUUUGACGCAAAGAGCGUCAAAUAGGGUUUUCCCAUGUCCCAUGUGGCCGCAUCUUUUUUUUCUCGGUGGUCGAUUGUUCGGCACACAUGCAUGUUGAGCAACUCAGUAGUCUGGGUUUAUGACCUCAUGUGAUUUCUAUGCGUAAAAAACAUCUACACAUGGAUAGUACAGAAAAUAGGAAAUCUCGGGAGUUAGCAGCAAGGAGUGCUCGGCACACCAUCCGAAGAGACAAGAACGCAGGAUAUGUGUACUCUUUCUGAUGGCACUAGGCUGGGUUGUCGAGUGCGGGGGAUGGAAGGAUCAACGAUAUUUGUGCACAUAAGGUCUCAUGGUCUUUUUUGAUGGCGCCCGCCACUCGUAGCUUGUGAACGGCUAGAUGAUAGAUAAGGGCUACACAGCAAUAAGGUAUCACGCAAAAUGCAACGGGGUAACUCGCCUUAUGUGACGAGUUGAUCAUGGCUUCCUAGAGUUGGAUAACCUGCCCUAUAAUGUAGUCGAAUCCAAAUAGAUGGUUUCCUGGUGCCGCACAUUCCCAACUUACAUUAUCCUAAACCAACCUAUGUCGAAGGCCUUUGGUUUCUCUUGCAAUACAACCCAUGAAAAUUGUUGGUCGGUGGUAACUUUCUAACUAAAUGUUUUUUUGAAGGUUAACUUUCUAACAAAAUGUUUGUUUGCACCAUGCUCGCAUCUCUA
rnacentral:lncRNA from 1 species